UUUUCAUCAGACAAUCUGUGUGAGCACUGCAAAGUACGCUUCUUUAAGGUAAGGAGGUGAUCCAACCGCAGGUUCCCCUACGGUUACCUUGUUACGACUUCACCCCAGUCAUGAAUCACAAAGUGGUAAGCGCCCUCCCGAAGGUUAAGCUACCUACUUCUUUUGCAACCCACUCCCAUGGUGUGACGNNNNNNNNNNNNNNNNNNNNGCGGUGUGUACAAGGCCCGGGAACGUAUUCACCGUGGCAUUCUGAUCCACGAUUACUAGCGAUUCCGACUUCAUGGAGUCGAGUUGCAGACUCCAAUCCGGACUACGACGCACUUUAUGAGGUCCGCUUGCUCUCGCGAGGUCGCUUCUCUUUGUAUGCGCCAUUGUAGCACGUGUGUAGCCCUGGUCGUAAGGGCCAUGAUGACUUGACGUCAUCCCCACCUUCCUCCAGUUUAUCACUGGCAGUCUCCUUUGAGUUCCCGGCCGGACCGCUGGCAACAAAGGAUAAGGGUUGCGCUCGUUGCGGGACUUAACCCAACAUUUCACAACACGAGCUGACGACAGCCAUGCAGCACCUGUCUCACGGUUCCCGAAGGCACAUUCUCAUCUCUGAAAACUUCCGUGGAUGUCAAGACCAGGUAAGGUUCUUCGCGUUGCAUCGAAUUAAACCACAUGCUCCACCGCUUGUGCGGGCCCCCGUCAAUUCAUUUGAGUUUUAACCUUGCGGCCGUACUCCCCAGGCGGUCUACUUAACGCGUUAGCUCCGGAAGCCACGCCUCAAGGGCACAACCUCCAAGUAGACAUCGUUUACGGCGUGGACUACCAGGGUAUCUAAUCCUGUUUGCUCCCCACGCUUUCGCACCUGAGCGUCAGUCUUUGUCCAGGGGGCCGCCUUCGCCACCGGUAUUCCUCCAGAUCUCUACGCAUUUCACCGCUACACCUGGAAUUCUACCCCCCUCUACAAGACUCAAGCCUGCCAGUUUCGAAUGCAGUUCCCAGGUUGAGCCCGGGGAUUUCACAUCCGACUUGACAGACCGCCUGCGUGCGCUUUACGCCCAGUAAUUCCGAUUAACGCUUGCACCCUCCGUAUUACCGCGGCUGCUGGCACGGAGUUAGCCGGUGCUUCUUCUGCGGGUAACGUCAAUUGCUGCGGUUAUUAACCACAACACCUUCCUCCCCGCUGAAAGUACUUUACAACCCGAAGGCCUUCUUCAUACACGCGGCAUGGCUGCAUCAGGCUUGCGCCCAUUGUGCAAUAUUCCCCACUGCUGCCUCCCGUAGGAGUCUGGACCGUGUCUCAGUUCCAGUGUGGCUGGUCAUCCUCUCAGACCAGCUAGGGAUCGUCGCCUUGGUGAGCCGUUACCUCACCAACAAGCUAAUCCCAUCUGGGCACAUCUGAUGGCAAGAGGCCCGAAGGUCCCCCUCUUUGGUCUUGCGACGUUAUGCGGUAUUAGCCACCGUUUCCAGUAGUUAUCCCCCUCCAUCAGGCAGUUUCCCAGACAUUACUCACCCGUCCGCCACUCGUCAGCAAAGCAGCAAGCUGCUUCCUGUUACCGUUCGACUUGCAUGUGUUAGGCCUGCCGCCAGCGUUCAAUCUGAGCCAUGAUCAAACUCUUCAAUUUAAAAGUUUGAUGCUCAAUGAAUUAAACUUCGUAAUGAAUUACGUGUUCACUCUUGAGACUUGGUAUUCAUUUUUCGUCNNNNNNNNNNNNNNNNNNNNGA
rnacentral:rRNA from 1 species